rnacentral:ribozyme from 1 species
UGCCUAACAAUUCCCAUCCCUGCUUCCUCGCGGUACUGGCCGGAGUACGAGCAAACUUAGGGAAGAACGGGUACCAACCUCGGUCAAAACUUUGGUCGUAUGCUAACAGGAAAGG